rnacentral:rRNA from 1 species
AGAGUUUGAUCAUGGCUCAGAACGAACGCUGGCGGCAUGCCUAACACAUGCAAGUCGAACGAGACCUUCGGGUCUAGUGGCGCACGGGGUGCGUAACGCGUGGGAAUCUGCCCUUUGGUUCGGAAUAACUCAGGGAAACUUGAGCUAAUACCGGGAUAAUGACUUCGGUCCAAAGAUUUUAUUGCCAAAGGAUGAGCCCGCGUAGGGAUUAGCUAGUUGGUGAGGUAAAGGCUCACCAAGGCGACGAUCCUUAGCUGGUCUGAGAGGAUGAUCAGCCACACUGGGACUGAGACACGGCCCAGACUCCUACGGGAGGCAGCAGUGGGGGAAUAUUGGACAAUGGGCGAAAGCCUGAUCCAGCAAUGCCGCGUGAGUGAUGAAGGCCUUAGGGUUGUAAAGCUCUUUUACCCGGGAAGAUAAUGACUGUACCGGGAGAAUAAGCUCCGGCUAACUCCGUGCCAGCAGCCGCGGUAAUACGGAGGGAGCUAGCGUUUCGGAAUUACUGGGCAUAAAGCGCACGUAGGCGGCUUUGUAAGUUAGAGGUGAAAGCCCGGGGCUCAACUCCGGAAUUGCCUUUAAGACUGCAUCGCUUGAAUCCGGGAGAGGUGAGUGGAAUUCCGAGUGUAGAGGUGAAAUUCGUAGAUAUUCGGAAGAACACCAGUGGCGAAGGGGCUCACUGGACCGGUAUUGACGCUGAGUGCGAAAGCGUGGGGAGCAAACAGGAUUAGAUACCCUAGUAGUCC